CUGGAAUUGUUUUGGAUUUGGGUGUUGAGGUCUUCUGAUGAAAUGUAGCUUGAUGUCCUAGCUACCAUAUGCCUUUGGAAUUUCUGCAUUUGGACCUGUUUAGACUGAGUUGUACUGAUUACAGCAUAGUGUAAUUUGUAAACCUGCAAUUACGGUUCUGGUUUGGUAUUUGGCAUAUAUGACUUAGUUGUGCUGGGAUUUGGACUGAGUGACCUUCUACAUUGUUGUAGCCCUGGUUCUUAGCUUCGAAAUGGUGGGUCUUUCACCUUCAUCCGACCAUCGUAGCGCCUUUGGUACCAUUACCGCAAAAUGACGUCAAAACUAUUUUUCUGGUUUUGAGCUUAAUUUUCAUUUCCGGACUUUUCCCUAGCUUGACUUGUACUAGUACUACUUGGAGCUUGCUGAAUGGUUAUUGGAUGAACUUGUUGUUGUGUGUGUACCUUUGGGUUGGAAUGAGGAAAUAAUGAAGCCGUGAUGGCCGGAAAAUUUAGCAAAUUCCGGGGAAGUGCUGUCCGAACUUUUAAAGGACUUGUUUGCCUUGAGUUUGUGAUCUAAGACUUGGAUUUGAGCAAGGCAAUGAUAUAUGAUGGAUGGUUUCUGAGCCAUGGAGGUGAGUGACCCUAAACUAUUUCCAAAGUACUUGUGAAACGUUUCUUGCAUUAUUUACUACUUGUGCCAGCAUAAUUCAAGGUGUGAGGUGAGGUUCAAUCCUUUACGGACAACAAACCAUAACUGGAUGACCUAAGCUUAGGUUAUAAACUUUAUACAAUUUCAAAACAGUAAUGAGGGGAACACAUUACUUUAAUUAUAGUUAAACCUAAGCUUGGAGCGAUAAAGAUUUACACAAGUGUAGGUGCAAACCUUGGAGCUUGCAAAUCUAUGGAGGUUAUAUGUCUAGACACCUGUCCCUAAAAAGAUAAUUGAAGGGUUUUAAAAUGUAGAGGUUUGCAGGGACAGUAUACUGGGUUCUAUUGGAGAGGUUAUGAGCCCUACACCUGUCCCUGGGUAUACCAAACGGCAUCCCUUAUCAAAUUAUUUGGAUACUUCUGGUCACCAACUAUAAUAUAAAAUGUAUAACCAACUCUCGCUGGGACUCAGUCGCUCACUACAAACCUCAAUUGAAUUUCAAGAUAUAUAUAUAUAUCAAAGGUUCCCAAACUUUACAUAUCAAAAGCGAAGCGUCCACGCUACCACAGCGCCACUCUGAUCCUUGAUCACAAUUAGUAUACAGGAGGAAGUCCAAAACUAGACUAUUACACAUCCAAUCAAUUCUAAACGUUCAAUACAAUCCCAAUAUGAAUGAUCACACAAAAGGAAAUCCAAGUUCAAGCCACACAUGAGAUAAUCCAUGAAUAAACACUACAAGCCACUCCUUCGCCUUGAGCCCUGUGGAGGGGAAUAAAAUAGUUUUGGGGUGAGCUAGAAGCUCAGCGAGUAACCAGUAAAAUCAGUAAUCAAAUCUGUUUAACAAUAGUUCAUUUCAAUGAUGUCAUUUCAAUAUGGAGUAUCAAUAAUUCAAGAAACAUUUACCAUGGAAAGCGAUAGUAACAUUCAUGAAAAGGAUACGUUCGUUCUCCUGUCAUUUCAUUGCAUUUGGUUUCAUUCGUGCAUUCAUUCACCCCGUCCCUGGCUUUUGGCCAGGCUCCACCAACCUACAAGGUAAUACUCGAGUAUACCGAAACGUUCACCCAAGUUCCUAGUCGCCCGACCGAGUCCGCAUCUGGCUCAAGACGACCGGUAACAAGGGGCAAUGGCCAGUUCAGCCCAAAAGGCUUACAUUCAUGCGCAAGUAGCAUUUAAUCAUUAAUCAUUGAAAAUUUCAUAUUUAUUUAGGUCGAGUGCGAUAAAGUACACACUCGCCUAGAAAACUCGUUUUAACAAUCAUUGAAAGCAAAAUCAAUAAUAACAAGACACUGAUAUGCAAGCACGCAUGAUAUGUAAGAAAACAGAUCCAAAAUUAACUUUGAAAACUGUUCAAAAGUAAAUAAUGCGGGAAAGCGGUUCAAAAGUAAAUUUGGAAACAGUUCAAAAGUAAAUAAUGCAAGAAACGGUUCAUAAUAAUUUUAGAAAUAGUUUGAGGUCACUCACCUCCACGGCUCUGAAACCAUCCAUCAUAUAGCAUUGCCUUGCUCAAAUCCAAGUCUUAGAUCACAAACCCAAUGCAACAAGUCCCUUCAAAAUUCGGACAGCACUUCCCCUAAAUUUGCUAACUUUUCCAGCCAUCACGGCUUCAUUAUAUUUCUCAUUCAACCCAAAGGUACACACACAACAACAAGGUCAUCCAAUAGCCAUCAAGCAAGCUCCAAGUAGUACUAGUACAAGUCAAGCUAGGGAAAAGUCCGGAAAUGAAAGUUAAGCUCAAAACCAGAAAAAUAGUUUUGGACGUCAUUUUACGGUAAUGGUACCAAAGGCGCUACGAUUGUCAGAUGAAGGUACAAGACCCACCUUUUCGAAGCUAAGAACCAGGGCUACAACAAUGUAGAAGGUCACUCAGUCCAAAUCCCAGCACAACUAAGUCAUAUAUGCCAAAUACCAAACCAGAACCGUAAUUGCAGGUUUACAAAUUACACUAUGCUGUAAUCAGUACAACUCAGUCUAAACAGGUCGAAAUGCAGAAAUUCCAAAGGAAUAUGGUAGCUAGGACAUCAAGCUACAUUUCAUCAGAAGACCUCAACACCCAAAUCCAAAGCAAUUCCAGUCAAAACAGACGAUUACAAGCGCAGUUCGCACAUUCUGAUCAACCCAGAACAGCAACAGUAAAAUCGAUAUAUCUCAUUCUACACUACUCCAAUUGCACUGAAAAUUUACAGGCACCUCAAAAACAUCAAUACCUAUAACUUUCAUGUUUUACGCAAAGGCCAAUUCGGCCCCUAACCAUGAGAUACAAAACCGGACAGAAUUGGGGAUAUAAAACCCUAACUUUUCACAUUUCCUUCCAAAUCCAAAAUUGGUUGGAAUUUCCAAUCAUUUACACCUACUAGAGUCAUUAACCAUAAAUUCCCAUCAUCAAAGAUAUCCACAACAUCAUGAUCACAUUAAACCAUAAAAUUCCUCAAUAAAAUAAAAACUUCACCAAUUCAUCUCAAACCAAGAAACAAACCACAAAUUUCAGCACUUUAGCCACCACUAGGCACAAAUUAAGCAUCAUUAAGUGUAGGAGGAAGUGUAAUAACCACUUACCUAGUAAACAAGAGAGAAGGAGUUGUAGAACACCUUAGCUUCCUUAAAAACUUCACCAAACAAAUUACUAGCACCUAAUGGAGGGAUUUUAUGGAGUAGAAACUAGUUUAUGUGAUUGUUUUUGGAAGCUUGAGCUAAAUGGAAGCUAAAAUGUUGAAGAGUUUCUUUCUUCUUUGCUCAAGAGAGAACCGGCCAUGGAGGAGAAGAAAAGAGUGAAUUUUAGUGAUUUUUGUGAGAUAUUUAACUCAAUGGCAAAAAGUCAAAAAGGGUGAAUAGUUGUCUUAGGCUUCAACCACUCACAAAGUGACACGUGUCACUUCAUUAAAUGCAUUUCUAUCCUUUUGUUUCCUCUCACAUCAAUCACAUCUCAUCCUCCACUUAUCUCUUAACACCCGAUAAAUUUCACUCAGUAUCCGGAACUCAACCUUAUUGGCCGAAUUUUUCCGAACUUAUCGCACUAGUGGGUCCCACAUCCGGUAUACACUCUUAAUUUCUCAAAACCUAUUUGAUACUAGAAAAAUCAUCCAAAAACUAUAUCUGCCCAUUAAAAAUAUCUAGAAAAUUUCCCUACUAAAGAAAACGCAGAAAACAAGCCAUUAAAUAAAUAAAACCCUAGAAAAUGGGAGAAGUAUGGGUUCUCACACUCAUUUUUUUUCGGGGCGUCACAAUCUCCCCUCCUUAAAAGAAUGUCGUCCUCGACAUUCCCUCUUGUACCAAUCAAGUCAAGACAUCCCGCAAAAAUCUCUCAAGAGUCAAAUCAAACCCACAGUCCGGCAUCCUAAACUUCAAGCCUAGGAUACACUACAGAGAUCUGAAGCAUAAGCUCUGAUACCAAUUGUCACGACCCCACCUCCCCCUAAGGCGAACCAGAGGGUUUGGCGGGCCGCCUGCCCAGCUCUCGCCGGGACUCAGUCGUUCACUACAAACCUCAAUUGAAUUUCAAGAUAUAUAUAUAUAUCAAAGGUUCCCAAACUUUACAUAUCAAAAGCGAAGCGUCCACGCUACCGCAGCGCCACUCUGAUCCUUGAUCACAAUUAGUAUACAGGAGGAAGUCCAAAACUAGACUAUUACACAUCCAAUCAAUUCUAAACGUUCAAUACAAUCCCAAUAUGAAUGAUCACACAAAAGGAAAUCCAAGUUCAAGCCACACAUGAGAUAAUCCAUGAAUAAACACUACAAGCCACUCCUUCGCCUUGAGCCCUGUGGAGGGGAAUAAAAUAGUUUUGGGGUGACUUAGAAGCUCAGCGAGUAACCAGUAAAAUCAGUAAUCAAAUCUGUUUAACAAUAGUUCAUUUCAAUGAUGUCAUUUCAAUAUGGGUAUUACCUUGUAGGUUGGUGGAGCCUGGCCAAAAGCCAGGGACGGGGUGAAUGAAUGCACGAAUGAAACAAAAUGCAAUGAAAUGACAGGAGAACGAACGUAUCCUUUUCAUGAAUGUUACCAUCGCUUUCCAUUGUAAAUGUUUCUUGAAUUAUUGAUACUCCAUCAUUGAUUUAUGACAUCAUUGAAAUGAACUAUUGUUAAACCGAUUUGAUUACUGAUUUUACUGGUUACUCGCUGAGCUUCUAGCUCACCCCAAAACUAUUUUAUUCCCCUCCACAGGGCUCGUGGCAAAGGAAGGCUUGUUGUGGAAUUCCUCUUGUGUAAUAAUUGGGAUCAUGGAUCAGAGUGGCGCAGCGGAAGCGUGGACGCUUCGCUUUUGGAUAUGUAAUUAGUGGAGAAUUUGAUGUAAUAUUUGAGUUUUAUCUUGUAAUCUGUUUGAGGAAUGUAGUGAACGACUGAGUCCCGGCGAGAGCUGGGCAGGUGGCCCGCCGAACCCUCUGGUUCGCCUUAGGGGGAGGUGGGGCCGUCACAGUUGGUAUCAAAGUUUUAUACAUCUUUACUUUCAAACUAUUGUAACAAUGUUAGCAAAUUGAUACCAAUUGUUCAAAAUUGUUCAACAUAUAGGGAUGUACUUUUGAUAUUUAAUCACCUCCACCUACAAGGUGUUCAACAUAUAGGGUCGUGUCAUAAAAAUUGUUCAACCCUAGUUCAUAAAAAUGAGUUUGAGAACCCGGAAAUUUUCUAAUUUUCUAGGGUUUUAUUUAUUUAAUGGCUUGUUUUCUGCGUUUUCUUUAGCAGGGAAAUUUUCUAGAUAUUUUUAAUGAGCAGAUAUAGUUUUUGGAUGAUUUUUCUAGUAUCAAAUAGGUUUUGAGAAAUUAAGAGUGUAUACCGGAUGUGGGACCCACUAGGGCGAAAAGUUCGGAAAAAUUCGACCAAUUAGGUUAAGUUCCGGAUACUGGGUGAAAUUUAUCGGGUGUUAAGAGAUAAAUAGAGGAGGUGAAGUGAUUGAUGUGAGAGGGAAAAGAAGGAUAGGAAUGCAUUAAUGAAGUGACAAGUGUCACCUUAAGAGUGGUGGUCACUUAUUUGACUUAUUUGACUUUUUGACCUUUCUUACCAAUUGAUUAAAUAUCUCAAAAUUACCACAAAAAUCACUCUUUUCUUCACCAUUGUGGCCGGCCCUCUCUAGCUAAGAAGAAAGAAAAACUCUCCAAGAUUCUUGCUUCCAUCUUGCUUGAGUGUAAUCAUCCAACCCUUUGAUCUUGUUUCUACUCCAUAAAAUCUCUCCAUUUGGUACUAGAAAGUGAUUUGGUGAAGUGUUUAAGGAAGCUAAGGUGUCCAACAACUCUCCCUCUCUUGUUUACUAGAUGAGUGGUGAUUGAACUUCCUCCUACACUUAAUGAAGUUUAAGUUGUGCUUAAUGGUAGCUAAAGUGAUGAAUUUGUGGUUUAUUUCUUGGUUUGGGAUGAAUUGGUGAAGUUUUCAAUUUAUUGAGGAAUUUUUUGGUUUAAUAUGAAUGUGAUGUUGUGGAUAUAUUUGAUGAUGGUAAUUGAUGGUUAAUGACUCUAGUAGGUGUAAAUGAUUGGAAAUUCCAACCAAUUUUGGAUUUGGAAGGAAAUGUGAAAAGUUAGGGUUUCAUAACCCCCUUUCUGUCUGGUUUUGUAUCAUAUGGUUAGAAGCCGAAUUGGCAUUUUCUUAAAACAUGAAAGUUGUAGGUAUUGAUGUAUUGGAGGUGCCUGUAAAAUUUUAGGUCAUUUGGAGUAGUGUAGAGUGGGAAAUAUCGAAUUUACUAUUGUUGUUCUGGGUUCUUCAGGAUGGCCGAACUGCGACUGUAAUCGGCUGUUUUGACUGGAAUUGCUUUGGAUUUGGUUGUUGAGGUCUUCUGAUGAAAUGUAGCUUGAUGUCCUAUCUAUCAUAUACCUUUGGAAUUUCUGCAUUCGGACCUGUAUAGACCGAGUUGGACUAAUUACAGCAUAGUGUCAUUUGUAAACCUGCAAUUAAGGUUCUCGUUUGGUAUUUUGCAUAUUUGACCUAGUUGUGCUAGGAUUUGGACUGAAUGGCCUUCUACAUUGUUGUAGCCCUAUAUCUUAGCUUCGAAACGGUGGGUUUUGUACCUUCAUCCGACAAUCGUAGCGCCUUUGGUACCAUUACCGCAAAAUGACGUCCAAAACUGUUUUUCUGGUUUUGAGCUUAACUUUCAUUUCCGGACUUUUCCCUAGCUUGACUUGUACUAGUACUACUUGGAGCUUGCUGGAUGGUUAUUGGAUGAACUUAUUGUUGUGUGUGUACCUUUGGGUUUGAAUGAGAAUAUAAUGAAGCCGUGAUGGCUGGAAAAGUUAGCAAAUUUAGUGGAAGUGCUGUCCGAACUUUGAAGGGACUUGUUGCAUUGGGUUUGUGAUCUAAGACUUGGAUUUGAGCAAGGCAAUGCUAUAUGAUGGAUGGUUUCAGAGCCGUGGAGGUUAGUGACCUCAAACUAUUUCUAAAAUUAUUUAUGAACCAUUUCUUGCUUUAUUUACUUUUGAACUGUUUUCAAAGUUACUUUUGGAACUGUUUUCUUACAUAUCAUGCGUGCUUGCAUAUCAGUGUCUUGUUAUUACUGAUUUUGCUUUCAAUGAUUGUUAAAACGAGUUUUCUAGGCGAGUGUGUACUUUAUCGCACUCGACCUAAAUAAAUAUAAAAUUUUCAAUGAUUAAUGAUUAAAUGCUACUUACGCAUGAAUGUAAGCCUUUUGGGCUGAACUGGCCAUUGCCCCUUGUUACCGGUCGUCUCGAGCCAGAAGCGGACUCGGUCGGGCGACUAGGAACUUGGGUGAACGUUUCGGUAUACUCGAGUAUUACCUUGUAGGUUGGUGGAGCCUGGCCAAAAGCCAGGGACGGGGUGAAUGAAUGCACGAAUGAAACCAAAUGCAAUGAAAUGACAGGAGAACGUUCGAUUGAGUGUAAUUUGAGUUCGUUAUAUGAACCCACCCUAUAAGCUUAGGUCUAGAAAUUACUUCUACGAAGUAAUGUGCAUUAGGGGAAUUUCUUGGUUAGUUAUUACCUCUCACAUUGAGUGUGAAUGAUCCCGAUGAAAACUAUAUACACUCAUGCUGCUUGUCACAGUUUUCUUUAGGUGCUUUUUAGGAUAAUUCACGAAUGAACCCACCGUAUGAACGUUCGACUGUACUACUCACUCAAUUACCACAGUUGGUAAUGGUAUAACCAUGUUUGUGGUCAUAAAAAAGAUAAUUUUGGGGUAAAAUUAUCCAAUAUAUUUCAUAACAACUAUAUGUUGGGCUUAUUACAAAUCGUAAUUUCAAGUCAUUUAGAGGAGUGUAGAGUGAGAAAUGUCGAAUUUCCUAUUGCUGUUCUGGGUUCAUCAGGAUGGCCGAACUGCGCCUGUAAUCGGCUGUUUUGACGGGAAUUGCUUUGGAUUUGGUUGUUGAGGUAUUCUGAUGAAAUGUAGCUUGAUGUCCUAGCUACCAUAUGCCUUCGGAAUUUCUGCAUUUGGACCUGUUUAGACUGAGUUGUACUGAUUACAGCAUAGUGUAAUUUGUAAACCUGCAAUUACGGUUCUGGUUUGUUAUUUGGCAUAUUUGACUUAGUUGUACUGGGAUUUGGACUGAGUGACCUUCUACAUUGUUGUAGCCCUGGUUCUUAGCUUCGGAACGGUGGGUCUUGCACCUUCAUCCGACAAUCGUAGCGCCUUUGGUACC
rnacentral:lncRNA from 1 species